GGGUUCGUGGUCUAGCUGGUUAUGACGUCGCCCUUACAAGGCGAAGAUCCCCGGUUCGAACCCGGGCGAACCCA
rfam:Candidatus Nanosalinarum sp. J07AB56 genomic scaffold scf_7180000039072, whole genome shotgun sequence.